GACGAACGCUGGCGGCGUGCUUAACACAUGCAAGUCGAACGGAAAGGCCCUGCUUGCAGGGUGCUCGAGUGGCGAACGGGUGAGUAACACGUGGGUGAUCUGCCCCUUACUUUGGGAUAAGCCUGGGAAACUGGGUCUAAUACUAGAUAGGACCAUGCUGUAGGUGGUGUGGUGGAAAGAUUAGUUUCGGUAAGGGAUGAGCUCGCGGCCUAUCAGCUUGUUGGUGGGGUAAUGGCCUACCAAGGCGUCGACGGGUAGCCGGCCUGAGAGGGUGGACGGCCACAUUGGGACUGAGAUACGGCGCAGACUCCUACGGGAGGCAGCAAUGGGGGAUAGUGCACAAUGGGCGCAAGCCUGAUGCAGCGACGCCGCGUGGGGGAUGACGGCCUUCGGGUUGUAAACUCCUUUCAGCCAUGACGAAGCCCUUGUGGUGACGGUAGUGGUAGAAGAAGCACCGGCUAACUACGUG
rnacentral:rRNA from 1 species